rnacentral:rRNA from 1 species
UACGAAGGGUGCAAGCGUUACUCGGAAUUACUGGGCGUAAAGCGUGCGUAGGUGGUUCGUUAAGUCAGAUGUGAAAGCCCCGGGCUCAACCUGGGAAUUGCAUUUGAUACUGGCGGGCUAGAGUGCGGUAGAGGAGAGUGGAAUUCCCGGUGUAGCAGUGAAAUGCGUAGAGAUCGGGAGGAACAUCAGUUGCGAAGGCGGCUCUCUGGACCAGCACUGACACUGAGGCACGAAAGCGUGGGGAGCAAACAGG